CCCUGAAGGGCCGUCGAAGACUACGACGUUGAUAGGUUGGGUGUGUAAGCGCUGUGAGGCGUUGAGCUAACCAAUACUAAUUGCCCGUGAGGCUUGACCAUAUAACACCCAAGCAAUU
rnacentral:rRNA from 4 species